AGCAGAAUUUUAGACCUAGUUUUCUAGUUUGCUUUAUUCUUAGAGAAACCUUCAUACUUCAACACGGUCCUUCCUUAUGUUGGGGGACAGAGAUAACAUCUCCUUUUGUCAUCUUCCCUUGUCUUGGUCCAGGAGUACCAAGGCUAGAGGGAUGUUGAAGAGCCACGUGACACAGUUUGUUAUUCUGGUGUUGGGAACCAACAGAUCAAAAGGGCAACAAACAGUUAAAAAGUCUCUCUCUAUCCGGAGAGGAAGCAGUUACUUGGGAGCUGAACACAAGGAACAGACUGACAGCCACAGACACCUAGUUGUGGAGUCUAAAGAAACUAGGCCUUCCUAAGCUCCCUACAAACACGGGGGUGGGAAUGGUCUUAAGCCGUAAAGACUAUGUCAAAGUAAUGAAGAGAACAUUGUAUACUGCAUACAAGAGCUGAGGGAGACGGG